AGCUGGUCCGACUGCAGUGGUGUUUACAACUAAUUGAUCACAAGCAGUUACAGAUUUCUUUGUUCUUUCUUCACUCUCACUGUUCCACUUGACUAGCCUUAA
rnacentral:Y_RNA from 1 species